rnacentral:rRNA from 1 species
AUUGAACGCUGGCGGCACGCUUUACACAUGCAAGUCGAACGGUAACAGGCCUUCGGGUGCUGACGAGUGGCGAACGGGUGAGUAAUGCAUCGGAACGUACCCAGAGGUGGGGGAUAACGCAGCGAAAGCUGUGCUAAUACUGCAUGUGAUCUGAGGAUGAAAGCGGGGGACCGAGCAGCAAUGUUUGGCCUCGCGCCUUUGGAGCGGCCGAUGUCGGAUUAGCUAGUUGGUGGGGUAAAGGCCUACCAAGGCGACGAUCCGUAGCUGGUCUGAGAGGACGACCAGCCACACUGGGACUGAGACACGGCCCAGACUCCUACGGGAGGCAGCAGUGGGGAAUUUUGGACAAUGGGCGCAAGCCUGAUCCAGCAAUGCCGCGUGCGGGAAGAAGGCCUUCGGGUUGUAAACCGCUUUUGGCAGGAACGAAACGGUGUCCGCUAAUACCGGGCGCUAAUGACGGUACCUGCAGAAUAAGCACCGGCUAACUACGUG